rnacentral:rRNA from 1 species
GAUGAACGCUAGCUACAGGCUUAACACAUGCAAGUCGAGGGGAAACGAUAGAGAAAGCUUGCUUUUUCUAGGCGUCGACCGGCGCACGGGUGAGUAACGCGUAUCCAACCUGCCCACCACUUGGGGAUAACCUUGCGAAAGUAAGACUAAUACCCAAUGACGUCUCUAGAAGACAUCUGAAAGAGAUUAAAGAUUUAUCGGUGAUGGAUGGGGAUGCGUCUGAUUAGCUUGUUGGCGGGGUAACGGCCCACCAAGGCGACGAUCAGUAGGGGUUCUGAGAGGAAGGUCCCCCAACAUUGGAACUGAGACA